UAUAGCAUUAUGACAUCCUCGUCUCGGGCAGAUAUUGGUAGGGAAAUGGAGGCACACAUGGGAGGUCCUCCUGAUGAUCCAAAUAGGUGUAUUACAUAUUGCAAAGUAUGGCCGAAAGGUGAAGAGCCGCUGGAUUGCUAUUGCCAGAUGCGGUGUGUGGCCAACAUUUCUUGUGAGCAUGAGACUUUUGGUCGGAGGUACUGGUGUUGCAAGAAUAUAAAGGAAGUUACAAAUCCGGUUGCAAGCGCACAUCCUGGACCUGAUGCAAUCUUGAGCAUUGACUAUUGCUACUUCCACGAGUGGAUCGACACCUCCAUAAACCAUGGUGAUCAGAAAUAUUUGGCAUGGUUGAAGAAGGUGGACGAUGACAUCCGGAAGUGCGAGAGUGGGCACGGUAGAGGCCUUAAGUGAUGGAAGUAAGCAUCAUGCUCAAUUAAUAAGAAUGUCGCCCAUUAUAUGUAUUCACAGCCAUGUAAAAUAACAGUGUAUCCUAUUUGUGUAAAAUAACCAUGUAUCCUGUUUGUAAGAACCAUUUGUCAUGAAUCGUUGGUGGUAGCA